UACGUAGGUGGCGAGCGUUAUCCGGAAUUAUUGGGCGUAAAGAGCGCGCAGGUGGUUGAUUAAGUCUGAUGUGAAAGCCCACGGCUUAACCGUGGAGGGUCAUUGGAAACUGGUCGACUUGAGUGCAGAAGAGGGAAGUGGAAUUCCAUGUGUAGCGGUGAAAUGCGUAGAGAUAUGGAGGAAUACCAGUUGCGAAGGCGGCUCUCUGGACUGUAACUGACACUGAGGCACGAAAGCGUGGGGAGCAAACAGGAUUAGAUA
rnacentral:rRNA from 1 species